AGAAGCUGCAAAAGGUAAAGAAAUAGCUUCUCCUUUAGAGCCUCAAGAAGGAAUGAAGCUCUGCCAACAGUUUGAUUUUAGCCCCAAACUCUGAUCUUCAAAAUUGUCCAAUUAGCAUGGUGUCACCAAUAUAUGGAUCCAUGCGAUUGAUUAUCUGUGGAAUGUCCGGAUGGUCCAGGACCCUUCAGAUUAUAUUACGAUGGAGAACAGGAAAAUUAACCAAAACCUGGGCAAGACUGCGAAUGUGUGCUACUAUCCAUCCCAUGUGAAUGUGAACUUCUUUGGAUUCCCUUUAUUGAUGGUUCUGGAGGCCGGAGUUGGAAAUCAGUUUCACUGGGCACACAUGGAGGUGUUUGAAGGGCUGCCCGUGCCAGAGGCUCUCAGGGAGAAUCCCUUCCUUGUCUGUUCCAGCUCUGCCUCCUCCUCUGCUGUAUACAAAGACAAAGAAACAGGCAAAGAAACAUCUCUGACAUCAAGAUCAGGAAGUCACAGAGAGUACUUGGCUACACAUUCAGAAGUUUCAAGGAUUUUCUGUUCAUUUAUUAAAACUUAACAUUUGCCGUACAAGUUUGCAACAGGCCAAGGUUAAGUGAAGAAUGAAAAUAAUGUUUAACUCCAUUACAAAAGAGGAGGCUUUUGAUACAGACUUCAUAAUGUUCUUUGAGGGAGCAGGCAUAUGAGGUUUGUACAUCGAAUGGAUGUUCUAGAUUGAGCAAAAUACCCUCUAUGCACUCUCCUGCAGAAAGUGUGGGUGAAAUAGAAAUGUAUUUCUGGAUAGAAAGAGCAAUGUAUCGUGUGCAUUCUGAAGAAGUCUAGCUGAGCAAAACCUUAAGAUUUCCUGUUGUUGCUGGACCGUAGACAUCAAUAUGACUGCUUAGCAUAAACGUAAAGGAACCUCAGGGCCCAAGAAUAAAAAUUCCAUCGAGCACAACUCAGUGCUCUGAAAAUCUAGAUUUCCCUAAUCCCAGAGGGUGAGAGCCAAGGAGGAGCUCGUCCUGCCCAUUCCUGCCUUCCUCUAUCCCUGGCACUCACACCGCAAGUUUGCUCUACUCUUAAACAAAAGCACCUGUGUUUUAAAAUUUUUAUUUUAAGUUCUGGGGUACAUGUGUAGGACAUGCAGGUUUGUUACAUAGGUGAACGUGUGCCAUGGUGGUUUGCUGCAUCCAUCAACCCAUCACCUAGGUAUUAAACCGCACAUGCAUUAGCCAUUUGUCCUAAUGCUCUCCCUCCUGCCAACCCCCCACCCCCUGACAGGUCCCAGUGUGUGUUGUUCCCCUCCCCGUGUCCAUGUGUUCUUACUGUUCAGCUCCCACUUAUGAGUGAGAACAUGCAGUGUUUGGUUUUCUGUUCCUGUGUUAGUUUGCUGAGGGUGAUGUCUUCCAGCUCCAUCCAUGUUCCUGCAAAGGACAUGAUCUCAUUCUUUUUUAUGGCUGCAUAGUAUUCCAUGGUGUAUAUGCAUCACAUUUUCUUUAUUCAUUCUAUUAUUGAUGGGCAUUUGGGUUGGUUCCAUGUCUUUGCUAUAGUGAAGAGUGUUACAAUGAACAUACACCUAUUUUUUUUAACCUGCAUUAUUUAUAGUCUUGUUUUCAGUAUUUUGGUAGGCAGUGCCUGGUCUGCUCCUCUCCUCCCUUCUCUGAGUUGCCCUUUUCCUCAAUUCUCUUUUACCAACUUUCCUUUUGCCAUAGUCUCUACUCUCCUUUUCUCUGUACUUCCCCUUCUUUUUCUCUUGGCCUCGACUUCUGAAUCCUGUGACAAUGGCGUGGGGGGUUUGGUGGAGAGAGGGGAACUAAAAGUGGAAAUGAGACACUGGGGAAUAAUCACAAGAAAUGAAACAAAACUUCCCAACUCUCCCCGGCUGUGAGCCCCACGCCAUGGUUUCCACAUGAGCCUUCUCCCCACUUUUGGCUGCCUCCCUGACACGUUUCCAAGGAGACCUUUGCCAAGUCAAGGCCGCAGCUCCCAAAGUAUUGAAGCACAAACCCAGCCCACUUCCAGUAGAUCAUCCUCUACAUACAGUUGUCUGGUUUGUAUCAGAAUGUCCUUGGAAUUCCUGUAAUGCUUGUCUCCAGAGUCACUUAGCCAGCAUUUUGGCUAGUUUUUGUUUUUGUUUUUUCUGAUACUCUGGUUGCAUAAAGUUAAACAGGGUUUUCAAAAUGUAGUUUCAUUAUAUGAACAACAUGUUCUAUAUGCUGAUGAAUAACUUGGUUUUAUGUGGGCACUUAAUUCCCAGUCCAGUGCUAAGUCUUUAUCUUAAUUUUAACUUUUAAGGCAAACAAUGCAAGGCAUCAUCUUUUGAGUGGGAAAGAGGAAAAGCAUUUUAAUGAAUGAGUUCUUGGUUGGGCUCAGUGGCUCACUCCUGUAAUCCCAGCACUUUUGGAGUCUGAGGCAGGAGGAUCGCUUGAGCUCGGGAGUUCAAGACCAGCCUGGGAAACAUGGUGAAACCCCACCUCUACACAAAAAUUAAAAAAUUAGCCGGGGAGGGGGAUUGAUUGUGUGCAUUUGCAGCUGAGCUGCAGUGAGUCCCAGCUACUCGGGAGGCUGAGGGGGGAAGAUGGUUUGAGCCUAGGAGGGUGAGGCUGCAGUGACUUAUGAUCCUGCCACUGCACUCCAGCCUGGGCAAUAGAGUGAGUCUCUCCAAAAAAAGAAAAAUAGAAUAAAUAAUGAAUGAGUUCUUGAAAGGAGAGAUGUAGCUGGGCACAGUAGCUCACAUGCUUGUAAUCCCAGCACUUUGGGAGGAUAAAGCAUGUGCAUCACCUGAGGUCAGGCAUGGUGGCGGGUGCCUGUAAUCCCAGCUACUUGGGAGGCUGAGGCAGGAGAAUUGCUUGAACCCAGGAGGCUGAGGUUGCAGUGAGCCGAGAUGACACCACUGCACUCCGGCCUGGGUUACAAGAGUGAAACUCUGCCAAAAAGAAGGAAAGAAAGAGAGAGACAGAGACAGAGAGAGAGAGAGAAAAGGAAGGAAGGAAGGAAGGAAGGAAGGAAGGAAGGAAGGAAGGAAGGAAGGAAGGAAGGAAGAUAGGAAGGAAGGGAGAGAGAGAGAGAAAGAAAGAAAGAAAGAAAGGAGAGAUGUGAAGAAUAUGUUUGAGAAUUUCUCAUACAUUCAUGUCUGAAAGGAAUCAUUUUAUUCAUCCCUCUUUCAUGGAUGAAGACAUUGAGGCCCAGGGGUGGUAAAAUUUGCCCGAAGUAGCCCGUGAGUCCGUGAGAUGUCCUGCUCUCAUCUGGAGAGGAGGAGACACGCACAGCCGUCUCCACCACAAGCCGGAUUCCAGACACUGAUCCUGCCACCACCACCCCAGUCUUCUGUCUGUCCCUCUCAGCAUGGCAGUCAUGUACCCUGGAACAAUUUCUGUGAAAAUCCCCUAAGCCAAGCUUGUCUAACCUGUGACCCACAGGCCGCAUGCAGCCCAGGAUGGCUUUGAAUGCAGCUGAACACACAUUUGUAAACUUUCCUAAAACA